AUUAAUGCCUCAUAGUAUUGUAGACUGGCAUCAGUUUAUAAUUAAAGAUUUAUCGGUAAAAGAUGGCUAUGCGUCCUAUUAGUUAGUUGGUAAGGUAACGGCUUACCAAGACAGCGAUAGGUAGGGGUCCUGAGAGGGAGAUCCCCCACACUGGUACUGAGACACGGACCAGACUCCUACGGGAGGCAGCAGUGAGGAAUAUUGGACAAUGGAGGAGACUCUGAUCCAGCCAUGCCGCGUGUAGGAAGAAUGCCCUAUGGGUUGUAAACUACUUUUAUACAGGA
rnacentral:rRNA from 1 species